UGGAUUCUAAAUCUUCUGGCUGGGGAAUGUAGACAUUGGCUUAUGGUUGAUGGUGUAGACUGGUGAGAAUUCAAAUUUUUCUAAACUCAUGGUAAGCAUAUUGUAAAAUACAUAUGUACUAGGAAUUUUCAAAAUUGGUUUGUUUGGUGUGGAGUAUAUUCAACAGUAUUUUUGACAUUUUUCUUUAGAAAAGGAAAAUCUAAAGGAAUUUCAUAAGUUUUGUUACAUAAAGGAUUGAAAUAUUGUGAAUUUGAAAGUGCACUGCUGUUGGCCUGAUUGGUAAACCAACACACUACAAUUGAUAUCAAAAGUUUUCUCCUGUAAUAUAUUAUUCCUGGGCUUGUCAAGUGAAUUCUUUGCCUGUUCAAAAUGGAAACCAUUGAUUAGAACUACAUUCUUUUCCCCUUGUUUUAAUUUGAACCCAACCACAUGGAUUUUUCUCUUAGGAAAAUCUCCUUUUUGGAGAUCAUGGUGUCACAGUGUUUGGUUCUUUCAUUUUUGUUUUUUAACACUUGUCUCCCUUUAUAUACAAAAGUACGAUAUGAAACCUUCAUUUAAUCUCUGCAGUUCAUCUCAUUUCAAAUGUUUAUGGAAGAAGCACUUCAUUGAAAGUACUGCUGUAAAUAUUCUGCCAUAGGAAUGCUUCUGUCGACAUUCUUUCUCAUUCCAGAAUUCGUCAUCACGCUGCACCGGCCUCGUCUUUGUUGGUAGGUGUCCCAUUUCUAUCUGCUACUCUUUAUUUCGUGGAGUCGAAUCAACGCUUUGAAGGCGAGGCUGUGAUAAUGGAACCAGAAGGCUGUUUGAACUUUUGAAACCUUGUGUGGGAUUGAUGGUGGUGCCGAGGCAUGAAAAGCUAGUAUAAGCAAGAAAAGGAGAGAGAAUGUACAGAGACUUGGUGGUGCAUAAUGGAUAUUUUUCAACUUGGCAAGAUGUGUCUCUCAAUCCUGCGGCUUCGGUGAGAGAAUGUGCAGAGAGCAAUGAUCAUAAAUAAUGUACGAAUGUUCUUCACAUUCAAAGGACAUCCGCAUCUGUUGGAAGACUUAAAACAUCAGCCACACCUUAGACUCCAUGACCACGACGUGUGUGUACAAUGGUUGCAACGGAUCCCUCCAGAAGGCUCCAUCCCCCAUCACUACUGGUUGAAGGCGUCUUCACAUCUUGACACACUAUUGCAAGUGAGCAAAACUCCCUUUGGCUCCAAUUAAAAAGAUGUGCUCCAACACCACAGGGACUAAGAUGAGUUUUCAACUUUCCUGCUCUUGGUCCCCAGAGAUGGACUUACAUCCAAGGUUUGUGCCUUUCCCAGCUCCCAGCUAAAUUAUCUGUGCCUGAAAAUCCACACUAUCAAGUGGAAAGAAAGCCAUGAAUAAACCUUGAAUUGAUCUCAAGAUGGGAGGAGAAAAUUAUAUCUACUUCCUUUAAAAGGCAUCAUCAAUCCUAAUAGUCUUAACGUCAUGUCCAGAGCAAAGCUGAAUUGUGUCAUGUCUGUUUCAAUCGUGUAGUAUUUGUGUUCAACCUGCCCUCUGUCCAUUGUCAAUGAUAGAUGACCUACCCCCACCACUGACAAUCUUUUUGGCAGUCACUUUGGGUAUUCAAGACACUUAAAAAUAGUUAAAUAAAUCAUGGGUUUUCCAAAAGAUGGACACUGGGAUGGGAUGAAUCAGACUGUGGUCUGCCUGACAUAAUUUGUGCAUCUGCCAAUUUGGGACCUGUCAGUUUUCCAUCUGGAACAUCAAAUUUAAAAAAACUAUAUUGUUUAUGGCAGUAAAACUACUGUUUAACAUCUGUGAAUCUUGUCUAUAAAACUGGAAUAACCACCUGCUCUAUCUUCUUACUUGUGCUAGACAUAGAGAAACAGCCAGUUGUUUCGAAGCACUUAGUAAAUGGAAUAAAAUCACACAUGGAGUGUGAGCUUCCUCUAGUUUAUCCAUGCAGCCAAGCUCCUAGGGCCCUACGUUGUUAGUGAAUCAUUCCAAGUUACUGGGUCUAGUAAAGAAUUCUCAGGUGCUACUAUUGUAUAUGCAAUGGAUGGUUAGCAGGGACCUGCUGUAAAGCAUAAGGAACUCUACCCCACAUUCUGUGAUAACCUAUAUGGGAAAAGAAUCUGAAAAAGUGAUUCUCUGAGUUAGACUGACUCCCUCUACCGUCUAGCUCCUUAUUAAUCCACCUGGAUUUUUU
rnacentral:lncRNA from 1 species